ACCAAAAACGCAAGACAAAUGCGUACAUGAAUGCGUGAUAAUUAAUAUUUUCAUGCAAUGGAAAUUCAGAGUUUGCUAAUUUUUUACUUGGACAUGAAUUUCGUGAGUAUUUGCCGUGUGGCGAAAGAAAUUCACGUAUGUUCAUUGUGCAAAUUGGCAGCUUUUCCAAAUCAUUCGACCUGAACUCAGACGUG
rnacentral:rRNA from 1 species